rnacentral:rRNA from 1 species
AUACGGAGGGUGCAAGCGUUACUCUGAAUCACUGGGCGUAAAGCGCGCGCAGGCGGUCUUUUAAGUUGGAUGUGAAAGCCUAUAGCUCAACUGUAGAACUGCAUCCAAAACUAUUAGACUAGAGUCUGGGAGGGGAAGAUGGAAUUAGUUGUGUAGGGGUAAAAUCCGUAGAGAUAACUAGGAAUACCAAAAGCGAAGGCGAUCUUCUGGAACAGUACUGACGCUGAGGCGCGAAAGCGUGGGGAGCAAACAGGAUUAGAAACCCCAGUAGUCC